UAGAGAGUAUCCCCUUUCAUUCCCCAAUCCGCUGCCUCCUCUUCCCCGGACCCUCCCCAAAUUCCCGCCUCCUCUCCUCCUUCCCACUCCAUCGCCUCUGCACCCUGGCCGUCGUCCCUCGUCAGCCGCCGCCGGCCUUCUCGCUGGGGUGGAGGAGUAGGGGAUCCCACCAGAUCCGACCUGCAGGCAAAGGGCGACGGCGGGGGCGCUUGAUUCUAUCCAGCACCAACGCCAUGGACCGGUCCGUGCAGGAGAGAGAUGAGGGAGAAAGAGAGAGCAAAGAGGAGUGGCGGAUGACGAGAGGAGGGAGAAAGAGAAAGGAAAUAGGAGAGGGAGGCUCGGCAGCGGACGGGACAGGGUCGCCGGCCGGUGUCGGCCUGCGCCGGCGAGGUCGCUCGCCCAGCUGCCAAGGAGGGAAAGGCGACGGGGACCGGCAUCCAGGGCGGCGGCGGCGGGACUACAGGAACUGGCCGAGGUGGUCCUCGCCAAACAAGCGGGUGGCAGCAAGGUAUAGAAGCGGGCACCCGUGUGAUUUGUUCUGUGUUGAUUUCUCCUUUUGUCGAUUUCGUGGUCAAAACAACGACAUAUUUUUUCAUUGGUUGAUUUGAUUUGGGGCUGAUUUUCCCCUCGAUUCCUUCCUCUUACAGUUCCUUUCCAACUUGUUGUUCAUGGCUUGCUUGCCAACCACAGGUGCUCCCCACGGUGAGGAAUGGACGCGCUCAACGCCUUCCUUCCCAACCAGGUGCUCCUGUAUCUCUCUCUACUAGUAAGAUGCCCGUGCUAUGCUACGGAAUCACAAAAAAAGUUGUGAGUGCAAUCCUAGGGGACAAGAAAAAAAAAUGUAGCAAGACACCAAUCAAAAUGAUGUCAUAUAUUUGAUCGGUACACACUGAGAACAAUCAAACAUACGGGCUUCCGUUUAUCAAGCAUAGUGUAUCCUUGUUUUAGCUAUUUGCUCAACACAUCAGCGCCAACAAUAUUAGCUCUUGAGCCCUCGCGUCAUCUAUCUUAUCACCUAAAAAGAUAUCUGACAAUCAGUAUGUAUAAUGGUCCGUAGUAUAUUUAGGCAAAGGAAAUAUUAACGAGCCUGUAGAGGAUCUGUAGUAUUUUGGCAAAGGACUUUUCUUUUGGCAAAAGUGUUAAACUGCAAUAUUUGUUUCGCAAGUGGUCAGAAGCACACAUAUUCCUUAAACUGAAAGACAGCUACUCAGGUCCUCAAUGCACUAAACAUCCUAAAUUAUAAUUAUUGUCUGACAACACUGAAACCGGUAUCAACAUAAACAAACUGGUAUCAUUUUUUAGGGGAAACUAAAACUGCCGAGAAACCAUAUACUGCAGCAAAAUCUGAUUUGCCGUGUCGUCUCGAGUUCUGCUUUGAGGGAUCAUUCUCAUCUCCGACCAUGGUGGGCCAGCCCAUGAUGUGGUGCGUUUGGUUGACUAUCUGACACAAUGAGCUUGGGGUAGAAUUUCCCCCGCCACGUAUCUAAACUAAUUAAGAUAAAUGAAGGUAUACUUCAGAAGCAUAUACUGUCAUGUAGGUAUAAGAGUAUACUGUCAUGAAAGAAAAGAUACACACAGUUUACCCUGUGAUUCCAAGCAUAUACUAACUUCAAUAUCAGAAUUUACUUGCAGAAAUUAAAAACUGAUAUAUGAACUCACAUGAUCAAGGAGAUGGAAGGCACAAGUUAAAACAUGAAAAAUCUAUCUAAAGCAACAUUGCACUCAUUAUCACAUAUUUGACCACACAUCAAAAGGUUAUUACUAAUUCUACAUAUCUUUCAUCAAUUAGCACAUCCAAAUAGAUCUCACACAACUACGCAAGUAUGUUUUUUUGUUGUAAAAGGGGCUAUUUCAGAUUGCGUUCAAUACAAAAUAAUAUAUAGUGGACUGGGAAGUUAAAUUACUUGAUACAAAGAAGAGAAAAAGCUUAUCUCUCUUUCUUUAAUGUGUGACUCGAGAACUUCUCUACUUACAAAUAAUAUUUAGCCAUGCUUGAUCAUCCUCCUCUAGACCUUGCACCAAAUCAUCUCAAGUACAAAAAUCUGACAAAUGUCGCAAUGAAAAAGGGUAUGAAUAUUGAAUAGCAAAUCCAAUACCAACCUGAGGGGAUGGAUACAGUGAAUUUCACCAAGAAUGAACUACAAGUUUCUGCAAAGAAUUAAGUAGAAUGUCCAAAUCUGCAUGUGACAAUGUACUUUGCAGAUCCACAAACAAUUCGUUCCUAAACAUUUCACAAAUCACAUGUUUAGGAGACCACAAUUUCAAUCAUGAGCGGAUCUGAUACGCAACUAUACUCCAAAAAAACAGCCACCUUUUUUGAUCUGGUAGGAGAAACACAUGACUUAUGGGGGGACGAGAGUGGUUGGGGACAGUCACAGUGGCUCGAGGUAGUUGACACUGGCGUGGCUUGGACGAGCAGGUUGCCCCCGGAAAAAGUCCUCCGCAUCUGCGAUGCCCAGGCUGACUCAUAGCGUUCCUGCUGCUCGUAGCCUCCAUUGGCAGCACAGAAGGAAGGGACUCAUGUUGGAGGUUGAGAACCAGAGCAUGCAUAAAAUGGAAUCAACCCCAACAAUCACAAACGGAAAACAAAGUACUUACUAUAUACUCUGUCUCCGACGACCUGCACAUGGCAGCAGCCGCUAGCCCACCACUAUCCUCUUCGUCUGUGACGACCUAUGCGGCCAGAUCUAGAAGGAGAGGUCCUUGGUAAAGCUUGGAGACAAAUGUAACUAUAGCUAUAGGGAGAAGUAGAAGUUAGCAAAUUCAGCAGCAGCAAACACACCAGCGGUACAGCCCAAGCUUGUCCUGUUCCAGAUCGAGCACUCUCAGUACUGCCUCCUCUUCCCAGCCCACCCCUUCUUCAACCAGUAAACACAACAGCAGCAGAGGAUCUCAUCCUACGACAGCGUACGGUCCCGCAACUUCUUCUCCAGCUCCCUCGCGAGGUGAGGAGUGAUGGCUUGCCUCACAUCGUGGGCCUCAGGCCCAUGUCGGCGAGGUGGGUGCAAGGCAGGCCGGCAGGCUGGCGCCGCCCACCAGGCGACGCUGGGUCACGCGCUGGACACGAACCAACGCAGGCGAGCAGGGGGGCCGAUGCGGCGGCGCCUGCCAUUGGGGCAUAGGACACAUGUGGCAACAAGGGACUUGGCGGCGAGGCUGGGCUCAUGGUGGACCGGAUCCAGAGCGAGGAAGGUCCGGGAGGCAGCGGAGGCGAGCGGUGACGCGAGACCCGGCAGCGGAGCUCUGUCUACGGGCGGGCAUAGUUGUGGGAGCUCAGACCUUGGGUGUGGGGGCAGUGGCGGAGCUUGAAAGAAAAUGCUGGGCAGGCCAAACUAAACAAGAGCACAAUUUUUUUUGAAAGUCUGAAUCAUAAGCAUCAGUAUGAUUACCGGAUGGAGCAAGUAGUAUGUAUACAUACAGCAAAAUACAUUUUAACCCUGAACCACUAUUAAGUUAGUUAAUACAAAAGCUUUGAGACAUUGGACAUGUGACUUGCUCACAUACUACAAAUCAACUCUCCGGUCACCCUUGCUUCUAAAAUCUGCAAGGACAUCUUCGUGGUUGUAGUUCUCUAGAAUUCCACCCUCUAUGUGAACUAACAAAUUAUUGGCAAGAUUCUCAUCUUCCAGGGUGUUGCUGCAAGAACUCAAUACCUUGGAAUGUAACAGCUUUAUUUGUUCAAACCUAUUCGUACUGGUUUUGGUUAUGUUGUUCCAAUUCAAGCAACGGCAAUAUCUGGUUUUCCUAAACUCGAGUUAUGUCAUCUCUCUUUUCCUUUUAAAAACCAAAUCAAUUCUUCUCUAAGAUUGAUUUUCCUUGCCCAUGAUUACCUGUGUUGCAAUUUGUAUAAGAUCAGCCUAUUCACUUUCUUAUCAAAUGGACACAACUAUUUCUUAUCAACAGUUCAACACUGGACACUAAAAACAGAUGAAUAGUUGGCACUAAUGGUUAGAAAUUCCACUGGACACUCAACAGUCAACAGGAUUCUGUACAGGUGGAAUUCCAUAUGGAUAAAAUCUGUUUCUUAUAAACACUGGACACUGAAAAUAGAUGAGUUCAUGACUCAUGAGUAGAUGUAAAGAACUGAACAAAAAUGAUAAAAAUGGGGAAUUACCUCUUGCUUCCGACAGUUGCUCUACUCUUGGAGGAUAGUAGGAGACUGGAGACUAGGAUAGCUCAUCCAGUGAUCUGCUCACAGGCCGGCCGCCAGGAGUGGUUCGGCAAGCCACAGGCCAGUAGCACGACGGCGUGGCCGAGCCCGAGCAGAUGUCAUCUGUGAGCAGGUACAAAGAGUCGGGGGAAGGGAGGAAAGCAAGGGGCUGAACCGUGGCUGUGAGAUACAGUGAUUCCGACGAGAGAAGAUAGACGCCGUCGGUUCGCCGCCGGCGGCGGCUUGCUCGUGUGCUCGCUGCUCGACUGUGGGACAGUUUGGGAAUUGGGGAUUAGGGAUUCCUAGCGCUGCAUGCCUCUGCGGCUGCUCUGUGCGUGAGUCUCUGAGAGAAAAACCGAGAGGAUGCACGUGGGCUGGGCUAGUGGCUUGGGAGAUGCCUAUAUAAAUUUUUUGGGUCAAAAUCCUGGGCGGGCCAUGGCCCGGUUUAGCCCCUACAGAGCUCCGCCCCUGUGUGUGUGGGUGUGGGUGGGGGGGGGAUGUCGCCCAAUUCAACUCCGACUGUCGCUGGGAAAGAGAGGCGAGGAACUUUGGGGGGGUCUAGAAGAUUCUUUAUCUUUCUCGAGAUGUUGUGAAUGGGAUGUCCCUGCUCUAAAAUUAUGUCUGAACACAGGGUGUUUUUACAAAAUUUCAAGUGGCACGUGGCUUGUCUCGAUCUUAGCCAUACAUUCGAGAUCAGACGGUAUAUAUGACGUGAAGGCAGGCACACCAUCACCACCAACUCGCUUUCUUAUAGGUGUAGAGAUGUGUUGUGUGAUGAAUGUGUGGUAGUGGGAGUGGGAUAGGGAGAGGUAAAGAGAGAAGAUUCAAAAUGCAAUGGAAGGGAAAUUUCAAUCCAAGUUUAAAUUUCAUUAGGCAUUCAUAUUCUUAAUUUGAUCUUCUAAAUUUUUGGCUAGGUGUAUAAACAUACAUGCACAUGUAUAUCUAAUUGGAUUGUUAGAUGAACAUUUUGUUGGGGAACGUUGCAGAAAAUUAAAAUUUUUCCUACGGUUUCACCAAGAUCCAUCUAUGAGUUCAUCUAAGCAACGAGUCUAGGGAGAGAGUUUGCAUCUACAUACCACUUGUAGAUCGCGUGCGGAAGCUUGCAAGGUGAUGAUGUAGUCGUACUCGACGUGAUUCAAAUCACCGAUGACCUGCGCCGAACGGACGGCACCUCCGCGUUCAACACACGUACGGAAACAGCCACGUCUCCUCCUUCUUGAUCCAGCAAGGAAGGGAGGAGAGGUUGAGGGAGAUGGCACCAGCAGCAGCACGACGGCGUGGUGUUGGUGGAGCUGCAGUACUCCGGCAGAGCUUCGCUAAGCGCUAUGGAGUUAGAGGAGGUGUUGGGGAGGGAGAAGGAGGCAACCAAAGGCCAGGGCACCAGGUAUGAAGUCCCUCCUCUCCCCCCACUAUAUAUAGGGGUGCCAAGGGGGGGUGGCCGGCCCUAGGAGAUCAAAUCUCCUAAGGGGUGCGGCGGCCAAGGGGGGAUUCCCUCCCCCCCAAGGCACCUAGGAGGUGCCUUCCACUAGUAGGACUCCUCCCCCUUGGAAACCCUAGGCGCAUGGGCCUUGUGGGGCUGGUGCCCUUGGCCCAUGUAGGCCAAGGCGCACCCCCUACAGCCCAUGUGGCCCCCGGGGAUGGGUGGCCCCACCCGGUGGGCCCCCGGGACCCCUCCGGUGGUCCCGGUACAAUACCGAUAACCCCGAAACUUGUCCCGAUGCCCGAAACAGGACUUCCCAUAUAUAAAUCUUUACCUCCGGACCAUUCCGGAACUCCUCGUGACGUCCGGGAUCUCAUCCGGGACUCCGAACAACAUUCGGGUUACUGCAUAUACAUAUCCCUACAACCCUAGCGUGACUGAACCUUAAGUGUGUAGACCCUACGGGUUCGGGAGACAUGUAGACAUGACCAAGACUCUCUUAGUCAAUAACCAUCAGCGGGAUCUGGAUACCCAUGAUGGCUCCCACAUGCUCCUCGAUGUUGUCAUCGGAUGAACCACUAUGUCGAGGAUUCGAUCAAACCCUGUAUACAAUUCCCUUUGCCAAUCGGUACGUUACUUGCCCGAGACUUGAUCGUCGGUAUCCCAAUACCUUGUUCAGUCUCGUUACCGGCAAGUCACUUUACUCGUACCGUAAUGCAUGAUCCCGUGUCCAACACCUUGGUCACUUUGAGCUCAUUAUGAUGAUGCAUUACCGAGUGGGCCCAGAGAUACCUCUCCGACAUACGGAGUGACAAAUCCCAGUCUCGAUCCGUGUCAACCCAACAGCUACUUUCGGAGAUACCUGUAAUGCACCUUUAUAGUCACCCAGUUACGUUGUGACGUUUGGCACACCCAAGGCAUUCUUACGGUAUCCGGGAGUUACACGAUCUCAUGGUCGAAGGAAGAGAUACUUGACACUUGCAAAGCUCUAGCAAAACGAACUACACGAUCUUUUAUGCUAUGCUUAGGAUUGGGUCUUGUCCAUCACAUCAUUCUCCUAAUGAUGUGAUCCCGUUAUCAAUGACAUCCAAUGUCCAUAGUCAGGAAACCAUGACUAUCUGUUGAUCACAACGGGCUGGUCAACUAGAGGCUUACCAGGGACAUAGUGUGGUCUAAGUAUUCACACGUGUAUUACGAUUUCCGGAUAAUACAGUUAUAGCAUGAAUACAAGACAAUUAUCAUGAACAAUGAAAUAUAAUAAUACUUUUAUUAUUGCCUCUAGGGCAUAUUUCCAACAGUCUCCCACUUGCACUAGAGUCACUAAUCUAGUUACAUUGUGAUGAAUCGAACACCCAUAGAGUUUUGGUGUUGAUCAUGUUUUGCACGCGAGAGAGGUUUAGUCAGCGGAUCUGCGACAUUCAGAUCCGUGUGUACUUUGCAAAUCUCUAUGUCUCCAUCUUGAACAUUUUCACGGAUGGAGUUGAAACGACGCUUGAUGUGCCUGGUCUUCUUGUGAAACCUGGGCUCCUUUGCGAGGGCAAUAGCUCCAGUGUUGUCACAGAAGAGUUUGAUCGGCCCCGACGCAUUGGGUAUGACUCCUAGGUCGGUGAUGAACUCCUUCACCCAAAUCGCUUCAUGUGCUGCCUCCGAGGCUGCCAUGUACUCCGCUUCACACAUAGAUCCCGCCACGACGCUCUGCUUGCAGCUGCACCAGCUUACUGCUCCACCAUUCAACAUAUACACGUAUCCGGUUUGUGACUUAGAGUCAUCCGGAUCUGAGUCAAAGCUAGCGUCGACGUAACCCUUUACGACGAGCUCUUCGUCUCCUCCAUAAACGAGAAACAUGUCCUUUGUCCUUUUCAGGUACUUCAGGAUAUUCUUGACCGCUGUCCAGUGUUCCUUGCCGGGAUUACUUUGGUAUCUUGCUACCAAACUUACGGCAAGGUUUACAUCGGGUCUGGUACACAGCAUGGCAUACAUAAUAGAUCCUAUGGCUGAAGCAUAGGGGAUGACACUCAUCUCUUCUUUAUCUUUUGCCGUGGUCGGUGACUGAGCUGAGCUCAGUCUCAUACCUUGUAACAUAGGCAAGAACCCCUUCUUGGACUGAUCCAUUCUGAAUCUCUUCAAAAUCUUAUCAAGGUAUGUACUUUGUGAAAGACCUAUGAGGCGUCUCGAUCUAUCUCUAUAGAUCUUGAUGCCUAAUAUAUAAGCAGCUUCUCCAAGGUCCUUCAUUGAAAAACACUUAUUCAAGUAGGCCUUAAUGCUGUCCAGAAAUUCUAUAUUAUUUCCCAUCAGGAGUAUGUCAUCUACAUAUAAUAUGAGAAAUGCUACAAAGCUCCCACUCACUUUCUUGUAAACGCAGGCUUCUCCAUAAGUCUGCAUAAACCCAAACGCUUUGAUCAUCUCAUCAAAGCGAAUGUUCCAACUCCGAGAUGCUUGCACCAGUCCAUAAAUGGAUCGCUGGAGCUUGCAUACUUUGUUAGCGUUCUGAGGAUCGACAAAACCUUCCGGCUGCAUCAUAUACAGUUCUUCCUUAAGAUGCCCGUUAAGGAAUGCUGUUUUGACGUCCAUCUGCCAUAUCUCAUAAUCAUAGUAUGCGGCAAUUGCUAACAUGAUUCGGACGGACUUUAGCUUCGCUACGGGAGAGAAUGUCUCGUCGUAGUCAAUCCCUUGAACCUGUCGAUAACCCUUAGCGACAAGUCGAGCUUUAUAGAUGGUAACAUUACCAUCCGCGUCCGUCUUCUUCUUAAAGAUCCAUUUGUUUUCUAUCGCUCGCCGAUCAUCGGGCAAGUCUGUCAAAGUCCAUACUUUGUUUUCAUACAUGGAUUCUAUCUCGGAUUUCAUGGCUUCAAGACAUUUGUUGGAAUCCGGGCCCGUCAUUGCUUCUUCAUAGUUCGAAGGUUCAUUGUUGUCUAACAACAUGAUUUCCAGGACAGGGUUGCCGUACCACUCUGGUGCGGAACGUGUCCUUGUGGACCUACGAAGUUCAGCAGUAACUUGAUCCGAAGUACCUUGAUCAUCAUCAUGGUUUUUCUCUUCAGUUGGUGUGGGCAUCACAGGAAUGGUUUCCUGUGCUGCGUCACUAUCCCGCUCAAGAGGUAGUACUUCAUCGAGUUCUACUUUCCUCCCACUUACUUCUUUCGAGAGAAACUCUUUCUCCAGAAAGCAUCCGUUCUUGGCAACAAAGAUCUUGCCUUCGGAUCUUAAGUAGAAGGUAUACCUUAUAGUUUCCUUAGGGUAUCCUAUGAAUACGCAUUUUUCCGACUUUGGUUCGAGCUUUUCAGGUUGAAGUUUCUUGACAUAAGCUUCGCAUCCCCAAACUUUUAGAAACGACAGCUUAGGUUUCUUUCCAAACCAUAAUUCAUACGGUGUCGUCUCAACGGAUUUAGACGGUGCCCUAUUUAAAGUGAAUGUAGCUGUCUCUAGAGCGUAUCCCCAAAAUGAUAGCGGUAAAUCGGUAAGAGACAUCAUAGACCGCACCAUAUCCAAUAGAGUGCGAUUACGACGUUCGGACACACCGUUUCGCUAAGGUGUUCCAGGCGGCGUGAGCUGUGAAACGAUUCCACAUUUCUUUAAGUGUGUACCAAAUUCGUGACUUAAGUAUUCUCCUCCACGAUCUGAUCGUAAGAAUUUUAUCUUUCGGUCACGUUGAUUCUCCACCUCAUUCUGAAAUUCCUUGAACUUUUCAAAGGUCUCAGACUUGUGUUUCAUUAAGUAGACAUACCCAUAUCUACUCAAGUCAUCUGUGAGAGUGAGAACAUAACGAUAUCCUCCGCGAGCCUCAACGCUCAUUGGACCGCACACAUCGGUAUGUAUGAUUUCCAACAAGUUGGUUGCUCGCUCCAUUGUUCCGAAGAACGGAGUCUUGGUCAUUUUACCUAAGAGGCAGGGUUCGCACGUGUCAAAUGAUUCAUAAUCAAGAGACUCUAAAAGUCCAUCAGCAUGGAGCUUCUUCAUGCGCUUGACACCAAUGUGACCAAGGCGGCAGUGCCACAAGUAUGUGGGACUAUCGUUAUCAACUUUAAAUCUUUUGGCAUCUACACUAUGAACAUGUGUAAUAUUACGCUCGAGAUUCAUUAAGAAUAAACCAUUGACCAUCGGAGCAUGACCAUAAAACAUAUCUCUCAUAUAAAUCGAACAACCAUUAUUCUCAGACUUAAAUGAGUAGCCAUCUCGUAUUAAACGAGAUCCAGAUACAAUGUUCAUGCUCAAACUUGGCACUAAAUAACAAUUAUUGAGGUUCAAAACUAAUCCCGUAGGUAAAUGUAGAGGCAGCGUGCCGACGGCGAUCACAUCGACUUUGGAACCAUUCCCGACGCGCAUCGUCACCUCGUCCUUUGCCAGUCUCCGUUUAUUCCGCAGCUCCUGCUGUGAGUUACAAAUAUGAGCAACGGCACCGGUAUCAAAUACCCAGGAGUUACUACGAUUACUGGUAAGGUACACAUCAAUCACAUGUAUAUCAAAUAUACCUUUGUUGUUGCCGGCCUUCUUAUCCGCUAAGUAUUUGGGGCAGUUCCGCUUCCAGUGACCCUUCCCCUUGCAAUAAAAGCACUCAGUCUCAGGCUUGGGUCCAUUCUUUGACUUCUUCCCGGUAACUGGCUUACCAGGCGCGGCAACAUCUUUGCCGUCCUUCUUGAAGUUCUUCUUACCCUUGCCCUUCUUGAACUUAGUGGUCUUAUUGACCAUCAACACUUGAUGUUCUUUCUUGAUUUCAGCCUCUGCUGACUUCAGCAUCGAGAACAAUUCAGGAAUGGUCUUUUCCAUUCCUUGCAUGUUGUAGUUCAUCACAAAGCUCUUGUAGCUUGGUGGGAGCGACUGGAGGAUUCUGUCAAUGACCGCCUCAUCUGGGAGGUUAAUGUUUAGCUGGGUCAUACGGUUGUGCAACCCAGACAUCUUCAGGAUGUGCUCACUGACAGAACUGUUUUCCUCCAUCUUACAACUGUAGAACUUGUCGGAGACAUCAUAUCUCUCGACCCGGGCAUGAGCUUGAAAAACUAGUUUUAGCUCUUCGAACAUCUCAUAUGCUCCGUGAUGCUCAAAACGCUUUUGGAGCCCCGGUUCUAAGCUGUAAAGCAUGCCGCACUGAACGAGGGAGUAAUCAUCAGCGCGAGUUUGCCAAGCAUUCAUAAUGUCUUGGUUCUCUGGGACGGGAGCGUCACCUAGCGGUCCUUCUAGGACAUAUUGUUUCCUGGCAGCUAUGAGGAUGAUCCUCAGGUUCCGGACCCAGUCCGUAUAGUUGCUGCCAUCAUCUUUCAGCUUGGUUUUCUCUAGGAACGCGUUGAAGUUCAUGUUGACAUUAGCGUUGGCCAUUGAUCUACAAGACAUAUUUGCAAAGGUUUUAGACUAUGUUCAUGAUAAUAAAGUUCUAAUCAAAUUAUGAACUCCCACUUAGAUUAGACAUCCCUUUAGUCAUCUAAGUGUUACACGAUCCGAGUCGACCAGCCCGUGUCCGAUCAUCACGUGAGACGGACUAGUCAUCGUCGGUGAACAUUUUCAUGUUGAUCGUAUCUUCCAUACGACUCGUGUUCAACCUUUCGGUCUCCGUGUUCCGAGGCCAUGUCUGUACAUGCUAGGCUCGUCAAGUUAACCCUAAGUGUUUUCGCUGUGUAAAACUGUCUUACACCCGUUGUAUGUGAACGUAAGAAUCCAUCACACCCGAUCAUCACGUGGUGCUUAGAAACGACGAACUGUAGCAACGGUGCACAGUUAGGGGAGAACACUUUUUGAAAUUUUAUAAGGGAUCAUCUUAUUUACUACCGUCGUUCUAAGUAAACAAGAUGCAUAAUACAUAAUAAACAUCACAUGCAAUUAUAUAGUUGUGACAUGAUAUGGCCAAUAUCAUAUAGCUCCAUUGAUCUUCAUCUUCGGGGCUCCAUGAUCAUCUUGUCACCGGCUUGACACCAUGAUCUCCAUCAUCAUGAUCUCCAUCAUCGUGUCUUCAUGAAGUUGUCACGCCAACGACUACUUCUACUUCUAUGACUAACGUUUAGCAAUAAAGUAAAGUAGUUUACAUGAUGUUAUUCAAUGACACGCAGGUCAUACAAAAAAAUAAUGACAACUCCUAUGGCUCCUGCCGGUUGUCAUACUCAUCGACAUGCAAGUCGUGAAUCCUAUUACAAAGAACAUGAUCUCAUACAUCACAAUUCAUCAUUCAUCACAACUUCUGGCCAUAUCACAUCACAUGAUCAAUCGCUGCAAAAACAAGUUAGACGUCUUCUAAUUGUUGUUGCAUCUUUUACGUGGCUGCAAUUGGGUUCUAGCAAGAACGUUUUCUUACCUACGAAUCACCACAACGUGAUUUUGUCAACUUCUAUUUACCCUUCAUAAGGGCCCUGUUCAUCGAUUCCGCUCCAACUAAAGUGGGAGAGACAGACACCCGCCAGCCACCUUAUGCAACUAGUGCAUGUCAGUCGGUGGAACCGGUCUCACGUAAGCGUACGUGUAAGGUUGGUCCGGGCCGCUUCAUCCCACAAUACCGUUGAGCAAGAAAAUACUAGUAGAGGCAAGUAAGAUGACAAAAUCCACGCCCACAACAAAGUUGUGUUCUACUCGUGCAAAGAGAACUACGCAUAGACCUAGCUCAUGAUGCCACUGUUGGGGAACGUUGCAGAAAAUUAAAAUUUUUCCUACGGUUUCACCAAGAUCCAUCUAUGAGUUCAUCUAAGCAACGAGUCUAGGGAGAGAGUUUGCAUCUACAUACCACUUGUAGAUCGCGUGCGGAAGCUUGCAAGGUGAUGAUGUAGUCGUACUCGACAUGAUUCAAAUCACCGAUGACCUGCGCCGAACGGACGGCACCUCCGCGUUCAACACACGUACGGAAACAACCACGUCUCCUCCUUCUUGAUCCAGCAAGGAAGGGAGGAGAGGUUGAGGGAGAUGGCACCAGCAGCAGCACGACGGCGUGGUGUUGGUGGAGCUGCAGUACUCCGGCAGAGCUUCGCUAAGCGCUAUGGAGUUAGAGGAGGUGUUGGGGAGGGAGAAGGAGGCAACCAAAGGCCAGGGCACCAGGUAUGAAGUCCCUCCUCUCCCCCCACUAUAUAUAGGGGUGCCAAGGGGGGGUGGCCGGCCCUAGGAGAUCAAAUCUCCUAAGGGGUGCGGCGGCCAAGGGGGGAUUCCCUCCCCCCCAAGGCACCUAGGAGGUGCCUUCCACUAGUAGGACUCCUCCCCCUUGGAAACCCUAGGCGCAUGGGCCUUGUGGGGCUGGUGCCCUUGGCCCAUGUAGGCCAAGGCGCACCCCCUACAGCCCAUGUGGCCCCCGGGGAUGGGUGGCCCCACCCGGUGGGCCCCCGGGACCCCUCCGGUGGUCCCGGUACAAUACCGAUAACCCCGAAACUUGUCCCGAUGCCCGAAACAGGACUUCCCAUAUAUAAAUCUUUACCUCCGGACCAUUCCGGAACUCCUCGUGACGUCCGGGAUCUCAUCCGGGACUCCGAACAACAUUCGGGUUACUGCAUAUACAUAUCCCUACAACCCUAGCGUGACUGAACCUUAAGUGUGUAGACCCUACGGGUUCGGGAGACAUGUAGACAUGACCAAGACUCUCUUAGUCAAUAACCAUCAGCGGGAUCUGGAUACCCAUGAUGGCUCCCACAUGCUCCUCGAUGUUGUCAUCGGAUGAACCACUAUGUCGAGGAUUCGAUCAAACCCUGUAUACAAUUCCCUUUGCCAAUCGGUACGUUACUUGCCCGAGACUUGAUCGUCGGUAUCCCAAUACCUUGUUCAGUCUCGUUACCGGCAAGUCACUUUACUCGUACCGUAAUGCAUGAUCCCGUGUCCAACACCUUGGUCACUUUGAGCUCAUUAUGAUGAUGCAUUACCGAGUGGGCCCAGAGAUACCUCUCCGACAUACGGAGUGACAAAUCCCAGUCUCGAUCCGUGUCAACCCAACAGCUACUUUCGGAGAUACCUGUAAUGCACCUUUAUAGUCACCCAGUUACGUUGUGACGUUUGGCACACCCAAGGCAUUCUUACGGUAUCCGGGAGUUACACGAUCUCAUGGUCGAAGGAAGAGAUACUUGACACUUGCAAAGCUCUAGCAAAACGAACUACACGAUCUUUUAUGCUAUGCUUAGGAUUGGGUCUUGUCCAUCACAUCAUUCUCCUAAUGAUGUGAUCCCGUUAUCAAUGACAUCCAAUGUCCAUAGUCAGGAAACCAUGACUAUCUGUUGAUCACAACGGGCUGGUCAACUAGAGGUUUACCAGGGACAUAGUGUGGUCUAAGUAUUCACACGUGUAUUACGAUUUCCGGAUAAUACAGUUAUAGCAUGAAUACAAGACAAUUAUCAUGAACAAUGAAAUAUAAUAAUACUUUUAUUAUUGCCUCUAGGGCAUAUUUCCAACACAUUUUCUCUAAUGUACAUCUCUGAAAUUACUAAUAUGUGGGUUUCCUAAACAUGAUAUUUGCAGAUAUGAGAAAGAAGAAAUAGGACCAAGAAAAUUAGUUGCUCAUAUAUUCAUGUGUCGUGCAGAGAAGAACCCGAAUGGAGAACUUGGUAUGCCGAGUAAUAUGCAGGUACAGAAUUAUCAUCAUAGCAAAUAGAAUUAUCUGAAUAUUGUUUGGAGGAUAACAAUUCCUCAAAUUGGCUCAUUUAAUUUAGACAGUACGCCCAGUUAUUGUUGUCUUGGUUACUCCAUUCACUACAAAAAAAUACACUUCCGUGAUGAUACGUGUUUGUCACAAUAAGUCGCGUUUUUUGUCAUGCAUGUACAUCCAUGAAAAAUUUAUGACAGAAUCAAGAUAGUCA
rnacentral:lncRNA from 1 species